UACGGAGGAUGCAAGCGUUAUCCGGAAUUAUUGGGCGUAAAGCGUCCGCAGGUGGCUGUGUAAGUCUGCUGUUAAAGAGUCAUGCUCAACAUGAUAAGAGCAGUGGAAACUACACGGCUAGAGUGCGUUCGGGGCAGAGGGAAUUCCUGGUGUAGCGGUGAAAUGCGUAGAGAUCAGGAAGAACACCGGUGGCGAAAGCGCUCUGCUAGGCCGCAACUGGACACUCAUGGACGAAAGCUAGGGGAGCGAAAGGG
rnacentral:rRNA from 1 species